rnacentral:rRNA from 1 species
UGACAUACCUAAAACGUUGCUUCGGCGGGAACAGACGGCCCUGUAACAACGGGCCGCCCCCGCCAGAGGACCCCUAACUCUGUUUUUAUAAUGUUUUUCUGAGUAAACAAGCAAAUAAAUUAAAACUUUCAACAACGGAUCUCUUGGCUCUGGCAUCGAUGAAGAACGCAGCGAAAUGCGAUAAGUAAUGUGAAUUGCAGAAUUCAGUGAAUCAUCGAAUCUUUGAACGCACAUUGCGCCCGCCAGUAUUCUGGCGGGCAUGCCUGUUCGAGCGUCAUUACAACCCUCAGGCCCCCGGGCCUGGCGUUGGGGAUCGGCGGAAGCCCCCUGUGGGCACACGCCGUCCCUCAAAUACAGUGGCGGUCCCGCCGCAGCUUCCAUUGCGUAGUAGCUAACACCUCGCAACUGGAGAGCGGCGCGGCCAUGCCGUAAAACACCCAACUUCUGAAUGUUGACCUCGAAUCAGGUAGGAAUACCCGCUGAACUUAAGCAUAUC